rnacentral:lncRNA from 1 species
AAGCUCUGCUUGUCUCGUCUUGAUCUAAAAAAGCUUAAGAAGAUUGAACCAACACCUGCAACUAACAAGCAUCAAGGUUUAGAUCAAAGUCCACAUGAAGAACCAACCAAGACUCAAGAUCAAGCUUCAGAAGACUUAUAGAUAGGAAUAUUGUAACUCGUAGUUGAUAGACUUAGUUAGUCUUUUUUUAAUUUUGAUUUUGAUGUAAUAACGGGACCGCAGACCAGAACCCCGAUGACACCUCAAGAGGCCCAAACUUUACAAAAAUACAGGCUGAAGGUAGAAGACCCAUAAUCGAGCCUAAAUGAAAACAAACUGACAUACAAACCAAAGAGAUAUGCCAAAUGAACUUGAUCGUCAAUAUCUAACAGCUUGACAUACAUGAAAUAUUAAUUGCUUUCAAAAACCAUCUUACAUUCGUUCCUUGCUAUCCAAUCCCAAUUUUAUGUUAAAUACUGAUAUUAUCAAAAAUAAAGCACACCAUAUAAAACUCAUCACUUAAUGCAAACCUUAAUGCGGUACAUCAUAUCUAAGCCCAUACUAAGCCCAUAUGGAUUGAUUUUAUGAAAACCUUCAGCAUUAAUCUCCUGGAUUCCUCUUCCUUAGUAUUCGUGUCCUAAUUUACACAUGCCGACAUAUUUAAGCACAGAAUAUAAACCAACGUAUGUUGAAUCUUCAUGCAUCAGCCUUCAAAUACUGCACAUAAUCACUAUUGUAGAAGAAAUUGUGUAUUCCUUUUCAAAGAGAAUGUGACAGCAUAUCCAACAGUCAACAUACACAAUAGAUUUCAACCAUUUUACAGGCUAACAUACUACCUUUAAACACCUAUUCCACCAUUACAAACACAACCUUAGGCUAAUAACAUAAAUAAGCAAGCAAUCUCAUGAAGCAAAGCUGAAUUACUAAAGAAUUAAAGGAGUUUAAUGACAUAAAAUGACAUUUGAUAAACAACAUGUCAUGAAACUUUCCAUCAGAUUAUGUAACUUCAGAUUUCCAACUCUUACACAUCUAGGGAUCUAGAAAGUACCUAGAAAUUACAAAAGGAAGAAGAGGUGAAAGCGAUGAAUAGCAACAUCAGGACAACAAUGAGACAAUAUCAGCAGAAAUCAACUCCACCAGCAAAAGAAUUGUAAGCCACCACCAAACUCAAGUAAAAAAAUUCUUUAACCAACAGAUUCAGUCCAUUUGUGAAGUCCAAACCAAUAAAAUGACAAAUCCUAGAGAAUCAGCCCCAAUUUCUAACUCAAACCAUUUUCAAACUCCAAAUGAAUCACAAGUUGCUUCAGAGGCUGAAAAUUUCAGGAAUCAAAGAAGGAAAUUCAAUAGAACAAUAUUUUUCUCUCAAAAGUUCUAGUUGUCUGUAUUUUGUAUUUUCAGCUCUUAAGUUCUCUGCCUUGAAAGGCAAGGUAAAGAUGCCUUUAUAGGCAAACAAAUAGGGCAGACCUAAAAGUUCAGUUUUGCACUUCUAGUACCUCUCUAAUUUUAUUUUUUGCUUAAUCUAAGAAGCUUCCUAAACAGUUAACAAAGAUUUCCUCACCUAAAUUCCCUAAAUUACCCCUGAAACCUUGUUAAUUAACCCAAAAGCCCAAACGGGUCAACUGGCUAAGCUAAAUGGGUUGUAGCCCCCAAAUUGGAUCCUUAUUUGGGCAUGUUGCUAUUUAUCAACCAACUAAGAAUACUUAGGGGCUCCGGAAUAAAACUAACCUAGAAUUUUCCCCAAAUGAAGAAAACCCAAACCCAAUUCUGUGAAAGCAAACUGAAACAAAAGCAAAAAAUGAAUGAAUUAACCACUAUAAUUUCAUAAUAACAAUUAACUAAUCAUUGACCUAAUUUUAUUAGCUAGAUGAUUUAACUAACGAUGAGACAACAAUUAGCUAUUAACAUAGAGAUUAAAACCAAGAGAAGAAAGUGUAUUAAAAGGAACUGAGAUAUUAUAGCUAACAAAGAAAAAAACGAGGAACCAGUUUGAACUACAGAAUACCCAAACAACAUUUGGACCAAUCCAAACAGAAGGGGAUGAGGAGGAAAAUGAACCACGGAAAGGAAAUCAAUCAAGAGAGGAAGAAAAACUUACCCAGUCACGCUCGAAUGAGGUCGCUUUUGAUAAAUCAAUAGGUUUUUAGUCUUGCAUAAGGCUGGUGGACUUCUUCAAAUUAUUGACCCGAAUAGCCCUUAAUCGUGUGUUUCCAUGUGAAAACACACGAAAAAAGGCCGUUACAGUCCAAAUUAUUCAAAAAACCGAUGAUUUGCACUUUGGUUUUUUAGGGUUCCUAUAUUCAAAUCAAGAUUCGAGAAGAUGCGGGAAGAUUCGAAGGAAAUGAAGUAUAUUUAUCGAAUGAGGGGGAGACGGGGGUUCAGGGUUGUUAAUUUGGUGGUAACUAGGACUGGUGCCGUCACCUUAAGGCGGUGGAAACAGAGGCGGCGGGCCAGGGUUUUUGGAUGGUCUCUGAGAUAGAGAGGAGUGAAGCAGACGAUGUAGAGGGGGAGAGUGAUUUAGACACUUAAUAUUUAAGUGUCCCCC